rnacentral:rRNA from 1 species
AGCGGCGGACGGGUGAGUAAUGCAUAGGAAACUGCCCAGUAGUGGGGGAUAGCCCGGGGAAACCCGGAUUAAUACCGCAUACGCCCUUCGGGGGAAAGCAGGGGAUCUUCGGACCUUGCGCUAUUGGAUGUGCCUAUGUCGGAUUAGCUAGUUGGUGGGGUAAGAGCCUACCAAGGCGACGAUCCGUAGCUGGUCUGAGAGGAUGAUCAGCCACAUCGGGACUGAGACACGGCCCGAACUCCUACGGGAGGCAGCAGUGGGGAAUAUUGGACAAUGGGGGCAACCCUGAUCCAGCCAUGCCGCGUGUGUGAAGAAGGCUUUCGGGUUGUAAAGCACUUUCAGUGAGGAGGAAAACCUUAAGUUUAAUACGCUUGAGGCUUGACGUUACUCACAGAAGAAGCACCGGCUAACUCCGUGCCAGCAGCCGCGGUAAUACGGAGGGUGCAAGCGUUAAUCGGAAUUACUGGGCGUAAAGCGCGCGUAGGUGGUUUGAUAAGCGAGAUGUGAAAGCCCCGGGCUCAACCUGGGAACGGCAUUUCGAACUGUCAGGCUAGAGUAUGGUAGAGGAGUGUGGAAUUUCCUGUGUAGCGGUGAAAUGCGUAGAUAUAGGAAGGACACCAGGGGCGAAGGCGGCACUCUGGACAUACUGACACUGAGGUGCGAAGCCGUGGGGAGCCAACAGGAUAGAUACCCUGAUAGUCCACGCCU